rnacentral:rRNA from 1 species
ACUCCUCGGGAGGCAGCAGUGGGGAAUAUUGCACAAUGGGCGCAAGCCUGAUGCAGCCAUGCCGCGUGUAUGAAGAAGGCCUUCGGGUUGUAAAGUACUUUCAGCAGUGAGGAAGGUGGGUAUGUUAAUAGCAUACUCAUUUGACGUUAGCUGCAGAAGAAGCACCGGCUAACUCCGUGCCAGCAGCCGCGGUAAUACGGAGGGUGCGAGCGUUAAUCGGAAUUACUGGGCGUAAAGCGCAUGCAGGUGGUUUGUUAAGUCAGAUGUGAAAGCCCGGGGCUCAACCUCGGAAUUGCAUUUGAAACUGGCAAACUAGAGUACUGUAGAGGGGGGUAGAAUUUNAGGUGUAGCGGUGAAAUGCGUAGAGAUCUGAAGGAAUACCGGUGGCGAAGGCGGCCCCCUGGACAGAUACUGACACUCAGAUGCGAAAGCGUGGGGAGCAAACAGGAUUAGAUACCCUCGUAGGCUCUGC